rnacentral:rRNA from 1 species
CAAUAGCGUAUAUUAAAGUUGUUGCAGUUAAAAGGCUCGUAGUUGAAUUUUUGCUUGCCGCCGAUGUCGGAACUUCCGUACGUUCGGCGGCGUGCAUCCUUGGGUGGAACCUGUGUGGCAUUAGGUUGUCGUGCAGGGGAUGCUCAUCGUUUACUGUGAAAAAAUUAGAGUGUUCAAAGCAGGCUUACGCCGUUGAAUAUAUUAGCAUGGAAUAAUAAGAUAGGACCUUGGUACUAUUUUGUUGGUUUGCGCACCGAGGCAAUGAUUAACAGGGACAGUUGGGGGUAUUCGUAUUCCAUUGUCAGAGGUGAAAUUCUUGGAUUUCUGGAAGACGAACUACUGCGAAANCANNNACCAAGGAUGUUUUCAUNAA